rnacentral:lncRNA from 1 species
AUGAUAGGUAAAUUAAGGACCUUGCAGUGUAUGAGUUUUGUUUCUGCUUUUGUCCCCAUAAUAGAGAAGCCUAAGCAAGAGUGUAUGGAACGGGGGCUCAAAGACUUUGAGGAUGCCAUAAAAAAAGUCCUGAGAGAGACAGAAGAAAGUGACCUUGACAAACUUGUCACAAACCUCAUACAAUUGGAGGGACAGAACUACAGUUUACUGAAGUUUGUGAACCAUCAGCACAAUGAAGCAGAGACCAUUCGAAAGCAGAUUUCACAGCUUUCCAAUGAGAUGGAGAUCUUUGCAGUAGAGCAGAAGCAGGAAGAGCACGAGGCUCUUCAGUUGAGAACUUCAACCAUGGAAGACGCUGCCCAACAACAGCUGGCAGCUUAUCAACAACGUGCUGGGAUCAUGGAGAAGAUCCUAGAGCAGCUCAUGGAGGGUAAAGGGGCAGGCAUCCCACAGUACACUAUGAUUUAG